GCCUCUGUGGAUCUAUGGGAGAUCACCUCAGUGUUGUUCGGAAGAGCUCGCCUAGAAUAUAUGUGAGGAGAUGUGGGUUCGAAUCCCACCGGAGGCA